rnacentral:lncRNA from 1 species
UUUAUAUGUUGUAAACAGUGGAAAAGGAUAGAAUAUGUUAAGGGGCGGGGUAAACAAGGUUCCUACGCAUUCUAUUAACUAUCACAACCAUUUCAAUGUGCAGCUGGUGGUGCUCGAUUGAAGGAUGUACGAAUUGGCGUCACAUUGUCAUGGGUAUCCUUUCUGCAGGUAUAAUAUUUUCUGGGUAUCCUGAGUCUUUUAU